UUUUUAGUACAAGUGUAUCCUAUGAAAUAUUUGGGACACACUUAUACUUAAA
rnacentral:pre_miRNA from 1 species